CUGAUAAAGUAGAAUCACGCGCAGAAAGAAAUUCAGUAUAGUUAACAAAGUUAAGAUAAGUAUAUUGAACAACCGUGCACUGUGAGAGAAAGUAUUUACUGAUAUUCACAAUGGACCGCCUUUAGUCUUUUAGAUAUUUUGACAAUUAUCAACAAUGGUUUACAACUGAUCUACACACACACACAAAUGGGGUUUCCGAUCCUGUUGUUACUUGGACUAGUGGUAGCAGCUUUGUUUCUUAUCUUUCUUGUCUGUGUGCUGUCAAUAUGUUUUGUGAAUCUCUGUUGUCCAUCAGAGAGUGUGCAUCCCUACAACCAGCGACCGUACGUCAUUGGACAAAGCCCCUACGUCAUUGGACAGCGCCAGGACGAUUUUGUCUGAAAGCCGUAAUGACAAUGAAAAUAACACAGUGUGAUGAGCAUGUAUUAUCUGUCCUGCUACAUUUGCUUUGAUGUUUGAUUAUUUAUGAUCUACAAGAGAACGAAAACAAAAAGGAAAUACCUUAAA